rnacentral:rRNA from 1 species
GAAUAUCAAUAAGCGGAGGAAAAGAAACCAACAGGGAUUGCCUCAGUAGCGGCGAGUGAAGCGGCAAGAGCUCAGAUUUGAAAUCGUGCUUUGCGGCACGAGUUGUAGAUUGCAGGUUGGAGUCUGUGUGGAAGGCGGUGUCCAAGUCCCUUGGAACAGGGCGCCCAGGAGGGUGAGAGCCCCGUGGGAUGCCGGCGGAAGCAGUGAGGCCCUUCUGACGAGUCGAGUUGUUUGGGAAUGCAGCUCCAAGCGGGUGGUAAAUUCCAUCUAAGGCUAAAUACUGGCGAGAGACCGAUAGCGAACAAGUACUGUGAAGGAAAGAUGAAAAGCACUUUGAAAAGAGAGUGAAACAGCACGUGAAAUUGUUGAAAGGGAAGGGUAUUGCGCCCGAUAUGGGGAUUGCGCACCGCUGCCUCUCGUGGGCGGCGCUCUGGGCUUUCCCUGGGCCAGCAUCGGUUCUUGCUGCAGGAGAAGGGGUUCUGGAACGUGGCUCUU